rnacentral:rRNA from 1 species
GAACUUGAGUGCAGAAGAGGAGAGUGGAAUUCCACGUGUAGCGGUGAAAUGCGUAGAGAUGUGGAGGAACACCAGUGGCGAAGGCGACUCUCUGGUCUGUAACUGACGCUGAGGAGCGAAAGCGUGGGGAGCGAACAGGAUUAGAUACCCUGGUAGUCCACGCCGUAAACGAUGAGUGCUAAGUGUUAGGGGGUUUCCGCCCCUUAGUGCUGCAGCUAACGCAUUAAGCACUCCGGCUGGGGAGUACCGUCGCAAGACUGAAACUCAAAGGAAUUGACGGGGGCCCGCACAAGCGGUGGAUCAUGUGGUUUAAUUCGAAGCAACGCGAAGAACCUUACCAGGUCUUGACAUCCUCUGACAAUCCUAGAGAUAGGACGUCCCCUUCGGGGGCAGAGUGACAGGUGGUGCAUGGUUGUCGUCAGCUCGUGUCGUGAGAUGUUGGGUUAAGUCCCGCAACGAGCGCAACCCUUGAUCUUAGUUGCCAGCAUUCAGUUGGGCACUCUAAGGUGACUGCCGGUGACAAACCGGAGGAAGGUGGGGAUGACGUCAAAUCAUCAUGCCCCUUAUGACCUGGGCUACACACGUGCUACAAUGGACAGAACAAAGGGCAGCGAAACCGCGAGGUUAAGCCAAUCCCACAAAUCUGUUCUCAGUUCGGAUCGCAGUCUGCAACUCGACUGCGUGAAGCUGGAAUCGCUAGUAAUCGCGGAUCAGCUGCCGCGGAUUCCCG